rnacentral:misc_RNA from 1 species
AACGCACAUUGCGCCCGCCAGUAUUCUGGCGGGCAUGCCUGUCCGAGCGUCAUUUCAACCCUCAGGCCCUGUUUGCCUGGUGUUGGGGCGCCGCGCACCCUCAGCGGGCGCGGGCCCCGAAAGUCAGUGGCGGGCUCGCCAGGACUCCGAGCGCAGUAAUUUUCUCUCGCUGUGGAGCGCCUGGUGGGUUACCCGGCCGUAAAACACCCCAAAUUCUAAAGGUUGACCUCGGAUCAGGUAGGAAUACCCGCUGAACUUAA